rnacentral:rRNA from 1 species
GAUGAACGCUGGCGGCGUGCCUAAUACAUGCAAGUCGAGCGAACGGAGGGAACUCUUUCUUCUCUGCUGUUACCGGCGGACGGGUGAUUCCUACGUGGAUACCUGACCUUUAAGACUGAGAUAACUUCGGGAAACCGGAUCCAAUAUAGGUUCAUAUUUUGAACCUCAUGGUUCUAAAGUGAACGACGUUUUUGCUGUCCCUUAUAGAUGUUUCCUCGCUGCUUUAGCUAUUUGGUAAGGAAACGGCUUACCAAGGCAACAGUGCAUAUCCGACCUGACAGGGUGGUCGGCCAAACUGGAAAUGAGAAAAGGUCCAGGCUCCUACGGGAGGCAAGAGUAGGGAAUCUUCCGCAAAGGGGGGAAGCCUGACGGAGGAACGCCGCGUGGUUGAAGAAGGUCUUCGGAACGGAAAACUCUGUUAUUAGGGGAGAAAAGAUGGGUAAGUAACUCUGCACAGCUUGAAGGUACCUAAUCAGAAAGCCACGGCUAACUACGUU